rnacentral:tRNA from 1 species
UGCCGAGUCGUCUAAUGGUAGGACUUCAGAAUCUGGAUCUGAAUAUUGGGGUUCGAGUCCCUGCUCGGCAA